UGAGUGACCUGCCGAUUUGUGGGGGAUAGCCGGGCCAACGCCCGGGUAAUACCGCAUACGCUCUUCUUGGGGCAUCUCUAGAAGAGGAAACCUCCGGGGCAAAUCGAGGGACUCGCGGCCUAUCAGCUAGUUGGCGAGGUAACGGCUCACCAAGGCUACGACGGGUAGCUGGUCUGAGAGGAUGGCCAGCCACAUUGGGACUGAGAUACGGCCCAGACCUCCGUACGGGGAGCAGCAGG
rnacentral:rRNA from 1 species